GAGUUUGAUCCUGGCUCAGAUUGAACGCUGGCGGCAGGCCUAACACAUGCAAGUCGAACGGUAACAGGAAGAAGCUUGCUUCUUUGCUGACGAGUGGCGGACGGGUGAGUAAUGUCUGGGAAACUGCCUGAUGGAGGGGGAUAACUACUGGAAACGGUAGCUAAUACCGCAUAACGUCGCAAGACCAAAGAGGGGGACCUUCGGGCCUCUUGCCAUCGGAUGUGCCCAGAUGGGAUUAGCUUGUUGGUGGGGUAACGGCUCACCAAGGCGACGAUCUCUAGCUGGUCUGAGAGGAUGACCAGCCACACUGGAACUGAGACACGGUCCAGACUCCUACGGGAGGCAGCAGUGGGGAAUAUUGCACAAUGGGCGCAAGCCUGAUGCAGCCAUGCCGCGUGUAUGAAGAAGGCCUUCGGGUUGUAAAGUACUUUCAGCGGGGAGGAAGGGAGUAAAGUUAAUACCUUUGCUCAUUGACGUUACCCGCAGAAGAAGCACCGGCUAACUCCGUGCCAGCAGC
rnacentral:rRNA from 1 species